AUUGAACGCUAGCGGGAUGCCUUACACAUGCAAGUCGAACGGAGUGGCGAACGGGUGAGUAAUGUAUCGGUACGUGCCCAGUAGCGGGGGAUAACUACGCGAAAGCGUAGCUAAUACCGCAUACUAUUGGAGCGGCCGAUCUCGGAUUCGCAAGUGGGGGGGGUAACGGCUCACCAAGGCGACGGGCCGUAGCUGGUUUGAGAGGAAGACCAGCCACACUGGGACUGAGCCACGGCCCAGACUCCUACGGUAGGCAGCAGUGGGGAAUUUUGGACAAUGGGGGAAACCCUGAUCCAGCCCUCCCGCGUGUGCGAUGAAGGCCUUCGGGUUGUAAAGCACUUUUGGCAGGAAAGCGGUACCUGCAGAAUAAGCACCGGCUAACUACGUGCCAGCCGCCGCGGUAAUAC
rnacentral:rRNA from 1 species